rnacentral:rRNA from 1 species
UCGGGAAUCUUGGGCAAUGGGCGAAAGCCUGACCCAGCAACGCCGCGUGAAGGAUGAAGUAUUUCGGUAUGUAAACUUCGAAAGAAUAGGAAGAAUAAAUGACGGUACUAUUUAUAAGGUCCGGCUAACUACGUGCCAGCAGCCGCGGUAAUACGUAGGGACCAAGCGUUGUUCGGAUUUACUGGGCGUAAAGGGCGCGUAGGCGGCGUGGCAAGUCAUCUGUGAAAUCUCCGGGCUUAACUCGGAACGGUCAGAUGAUACUGCUUUGCUAGAGUGCAGAAGGGGCAAUCGGAAUUCUUGGUGUAGCGGUGAAAUGCGUAGAUAUCAAGAGGAACACCUGAAGUGAAGACGGGUUGCUGGGCUGACACUGACGCUGAGGCGCGAAAGCCAGGGGAGCAAACGGGAUUAGAUACCCCAGUAGUCCCUGAGCGGGCUGGCAAGGCGCAU